AUGGAGAGAAUUUUAAUUGGUGAUAUGCGUGACGGUGCCGCUGAUCUAGUUCAGAUCUCGGUUCGUCUGUGGAACAACAUGAAGCGUUUCAAAACUAUGCAAGACUCUCGCUGCAAGCCAUAUGAAGAAAGUGCAAAUGUUGUUAUCAAGCAGAUUGAGCAGGAUGAGGCUGCUGCCACCGACAGUAGGGCUGGUGAUGGUACUGAGGCUAAUGUUUCUGAUGACGAAAUGAAUGAUGUUGGCUUGGAGCGUCCUGUCGUUGAUAUUGAGCAGGAUGAGGCUGCUGCCACCGACAGCAGGGCUGAUGAUGGUACUGAGGCUAAUGUUUUUGAUCACCAUACGAAUGAUGUUAGCUUGGAGCACGCUGUUGUUGAUGAGACCAGUCAUAAUGUUGACGCUGCUAUUGACCAUGGAGUUAAUGAUCCAUCUACUGAUAAGUGCAAGGGUCCUCUUGUUGGCGACAAGCCUUGUUUUCCCGUUGGUGAUGUAGCUUUGAAUGUUAGCAGCAACAAGAUCGAUGAUGUUGCUAUGAAUGCUUCUAAGAUGAUGUUCGUGGUGUUCCAUUGA
rnacentral:rRNA from 1 species